AAUAGAUACCCGGGUAGUCCACGCCGUAAACGUUGGGCACUAGGUGUCGGGGUCGACAGGCUUCGGUGCUGAAGUCAACGCAUUAAGCACUCCACCUGGGGAGUACGUUCGCAAGAAUGAAACUCAAAGGAAUUGACGGGGACCCGCGACAAGCGGUGGAGCAUGUGGUUUAAUUCGAAGCAACGCGAAGAACCUUACCAAGGCUUGACAUCCUCCUGACAGGCUCUUAACCGAGUCCUUCCUUCGGGACAGGAGAGACAGGUGGUGCAUGGUUGUCGUCAGCUCGUGUCGUGAGAUGUUGGGUUAAGUCCCGCAACGAGCGCAACCCUUAUCUUUAGUAGCCAGCGGAUAGGCCGGGCACUCUAGAGAGACUGCCAGGGUGAACCUGGAGGAAGGUGGGGAUGACGUCAAAUCAUCAUGCCCCUUAUGUCUUGGGCUACACACGUGCUACAAUGGCUGCGACAGAGGGAAGCGAAGGGGCGACCUGGAGCGAAACCCUAAAAGCAGUCCCAGUUCGGAUUGUAGU
rnacentral:rRNA from 1 species